AUGAAGAACAAGGAUAAGCUCAGUAAGCCGACGUCAGCUGGUCGUGUGGCCGGCAAAGGCUUGUCGACAAAAUGGGGGUCAUACUAUACCGCUAGUGUGCGGAAGGAGAAAAAGACCAGCUCGGAAAGCCAGGCGCGAGAGGUUCAAGAACUCAAGGCACAGGUGGCGCGGAUUCCGGAGAUUGUCCAAGAGCAAGUGGAACAACGACUCGGAGCGACGAUCACCGCCCUUGUGCCUACCUUGAUCUCGGGGUUGAGUGCGUGGAUUGCGGGCGACCAACAGGGGCCGCCCCCGAUUCCUAGCUUCACGGCCAGCAACUCGCAUAAUGCGAUGGCGGGGCCAUUGGUGCCUCCGGCGGAGGCGGCAUUGGUGUCUCCGACGCCGGCACGGGAGCUUAAUGCACCCGGGUGUACGCCGGCCGGCACCUCUUCAGCAAGCGGCCGCUCCGUCAACUGCACGCCCGCCGUUGGCGGUGCCUCGACAUUAGCCGAGCUCGACGCAAUCAUCACGGUAACUAAUUAA
rnacentral:rRNA from 1 species